rnacentral:tRNA from 1 species
GAGGUUGUGGCUCAGUGGUAGAGCAUUCGCCUGACAUGUGUGAGGCACUGGGUUCGAUCCUCAGCCCCA